GAGCCCCCUGAGAUUUUUUUUUUUUAAUCCUCACUCAAAAAGCCCCAUCAGUUGCCGCAGAAGCAUCUUUUCAAGCCUCCAAGUGGCAAGCAGAGAGAGUUGGAAGAAUCCUGCGCUUCUCCUUUAAAUCCAAAAGCUUGGGUGCCUGGACAUUCUCCGGGCUGCCUCUUCUAGUGUGUAAAUAGCCUGUAGAGUGAGGGCUUGCAGGAGCCCAGGAUGAAAGGUGGGGAUGGCCAGCUAGCCCAAGUAGCCACCAGUGUGGGGGACGGGCAUGGGGCGUUGCCAUGCCGACAGGGAGUUUUACUUCUUAAAAUAGAGCUCAGAGUGGUAUUCCAACCAUAGCGUGUGCAUGCUAUCCCCAACCACACUCCACUGCAACAAACGGUGUUUCUUCAAGACAACAUCUCCAAGUCCUCUACCAGCAGAGAAUUGUCCUCACUCUUCCUAUUUCCAGGCCAAGAUCACUUGUUUACCAUGCGCUGGACUGACCGGGUGGAGUCAAUGAAGAGAGACAGAGGGCACACGAUGAAUGCAUAAUCAGGAAGAAAUAAAGAACCGGCUUGUACAACAUUCACAACUAUCUGGCCUACCAAUCCAGGGAGAGAUGAUGUUACCACAUAUCUGAUGCCAACCUGGGAUCUGCCACCCUAGAAAGCUCCAGGACAGCAGUGGUGGUCCUCGCUAGGGCAAGCUUGGAACUCAGCCCCACAGGGAGGUGGACCUUCAUCUGCUGAGGCUACAGGAUGCUGUCCAGAGUCCUACCUGCCAGAAACUUGCCCCACCUGACCUUGGGUACCAGCAACAAGGGCACGGCCUGACUCAACUGUGUUUUUAAAUGGACCCAGCCCACGUC